rnacentral:rRNA from 1 species
AAGUUGAAAAGUACUUUGAAGAGAGAGUUCAAGAGGACGUGAAACCGGUAGGAUGGAAACGGAUAGAGCCAACGAACAAGCCCGUAUUCAGCUAGUCGGCUGCGUGCGGCACGCCUGUGCGCUCGAUAGGGUGUAUUGGUGUGUGCGGUAUGCGGUUCUUGGCUAGUGCAUUUGCGGGUGAUGUGCGCCGAGGCGCGUGGUGGUGUCCAGCGAACCGUCUGGAGAGGACUUGCCUUCGGGCUUGAAACCUACAGGCGGGGAGUAGGGUUACUGCUGCACGUAGUCUCGUGACUAGGUGCAAACGCGGUGUCGUGCUGUCGGGCUAGCUGCUCGGUCGGUCGCAUGCGACUAGGCCUUGUUGGUUGGUCUUGGUGGUGCGGUACUGCCCUGGUCUACCCUCGGUGUAAAAGUUGGUCAUCUCUCCGACCCGUCUUGAAACACGGACCAAGGAGUCUAGCGUAUACGCGAGUCAUUGGGUGGAAAACCCAUAGGCGCAAUGAAAGUGAAGGUCCUCUUUACGAGGCUGAUAUGCGACCCGUUGCACUUCGGUGUACGCGGAGCAGCAUAGCCCCGUCUCGACUGCUUGCAGUGGGGCGGAGGUAGAGCGUAUGCGCUGGUACCCGAAAGAUGGUGAACUAUGCCUGAGCAGGAUGAAGCCAGAGGAAACUCUGGUGGAGGUCCGAAGCGCUUCUGACGUGCAAAUCGAUCGUCUGACUUGGGUAUAGGGGCGAAA